GGGUUGUGAGGUUAAGCGACUAAGCGUACACGGUGGAUGCCCUGGCAGUCAGAGGCGAUGAAGGACGUGCUAAUCUGCGAUAAGCGUCGGUGAGGUGAUAUGAACCGUUAUAACCGGCGAUUUCCGAAUGGGGAAACCCAGUGUGAUUCGUCACACUAUCAUUAACUGAAUCC
rnacentral:rRNA from 1 species